UACGGGGGGGGCAAGCGUUGUUCGGAAUUACUGGGCGUAAAGGGCGCGUAGGCGCCUUCUAAGUCGAACGUGAAAUCCCCGGGCUCAACCCGGGAACUGCGUCCGAUACUGGAAGGCUUGAAUCCGGGAGAGGGAUGCGGAAUUCCAGGUGUAGCGGUGAAAUGCGUAGAUAUCUGGAGGAACACCGGUGGCGAAGGCGGCAUCCUGGACCGGCAUUGACGCUGAGGCGCGAAAGCCAGGGGAGCAAAGCGG
rnacentral:rRNA from 1 species